AUUGAACGCUGGCGGCAUGCUUUACACAUGCAAGUCGAACGGCAGCGCGGGCUUCGGCCUGGCGGCGAGUGGCGAACGGGUGAGUAAUGCAUCGGAACGUGCCCAGUAGUGGGGGAUAGCCCGGCGAAAGCCGGAUUAAUACCGCAUACGACCUGAGGGUGAAAGCGGGGGACCGAAAGGCCUCGCGCUAUUGGAGCGGCCGAUGUCGGAUUAGCUAGUUGGUGGGGUAAAGGCUUACCAAGGCGACGAUCCGUAGCUGGUCUGAGAGGACGACCAGCCACACUGGGACUGAGACACGGCCCAGACUCCUACGGGAGGCAGCAGUGGGGAAUUUUGGACAAUGGGGGCAACCCUGAUCCAGCAAUGCCGCGUGCGGGAAGAAGGCCUUCGGGUUGUAAACCGCUUUUGUUCGGGAAGAAAUCCUCUGGGCUAAUACCCCGGGGGGAUGACGGUACCGGAAGAAUAAGCACCGGCUAACUACGUG
rnacentral:rRNA from 1 species